UAUGCUCCUUUCGCGUUUCCCGACUGCCGCCGCCCUACCCCGUGGCGGCUAGGUUAACGCCGCCAGCCUCCUUCCUCCACGCUGAAUCCACUACGCGACGUCGUCGGCUCUUCAAACUUGUCCUCCACCGCUCCUGAUCGACGACCUCGUUGUCUCCUUCGAGCCCCUUCUCCAUCACGACAUGCCCGCGCUGGUCGAUGCCAUCAUCCCAGAUGCCCCUUCUCCAUCACGCCUUAGAGCCGAUCUAUACGAACUAUGAACGCCCCCAGAUGGUCAAGCUCUUUAGCCAGCAUCCCAUAGCCUCAUCAAGAUAUGAUCGUGUCCAGCUUCGCACUCUGGCCCGCAGGGUGGAGAGAGACGGCAGGUCUUAAUUUUUUAUUGUGUGGUCUCCUUCCUCCUUUAUCCAGAUAGGGUUUGGGGUGGUGGUCGAGUCCAGCGAGCAGCCUCAUCUCACUCGACUUCCACAAUCUCACCCCUGGUGGUAUCUUCCCUCCCGUGCUUGAUUUUGGUUCCCAUGGACCAUGGUGCUAUCUUCCCUCCUGUCUCCCUCCUUUGAUUCUAACCUGGUCUUCUUUGAUGCGUUGUCUUGGUUUAGAUUAUGCAAGAUUAGGUGAUGUUGUCUACCCACAUUUAUAGAAGUGGAUCGCAGAUGCGAUGUAGCAGAGAGAGGGGCCUUGAGAGGUGAGCUGCUGCUGCUACUCCUCUGUGUGAAUUUUGAGUUUGCUAACCACAUGUACCAUGUGUGGUUGCUGCUACUCCUCUGUUAUUACACAUCUAGGGGAAAUAGCCAGGGAGAGAGAAGACUAUGGGGGAGAAAAGAAAGGAGAGGAGUUAGCCAAGAUUCAGGACAAAAUUCGUCAUCUUUGAGCUGAAGCUUUUGCCUCAAAAGGUCCUUUGCAGGUUCCUUUGGCAAUGUGUUGCUGGUUGUCAACAUGAUUAGAGAUACUUUCUGCCACAAAGGUUCAGUUUCUAACGAAGCAGUCCAGCAAGUAAAGUUGUAUUUAUCUUGAUGUAGUCAAAUAAGAUUUUGUGAGUUACUACUCCAGAUAUGCUACAUGUAAUAGACAUGCAUGUACGCAUGUAUUUAACCAUCUAGAAAAGAGGCUGUAUUCCUGUUGAAAGCUAUAUUAAAUCCUAAUUUUUGACUCUUCGGAUGAAA